rnacentral:rRNA from 1 species
CCAGACUCCUACGGGAGGCAGCAGUGGGGGAUAUUGCACAAUGGGGGAAACCCUGAUGCAGCGACGCCGCGUGGGUGAAGGAGCACCUCGGUGCGUAAAGCCCUAUCGGCAGGGAAGAAACAGACGGUACCUGACUAAGAAGCCCCGGCUAACUACGUGCCAGCAGCCGCGGUAAUACGUAGGGGGCAAGCGUUAUCCGGAUUCACUGGGUGUAAAGGGAGCGUAGACGGCGACGCAAGUCUGGAGUGAAAGCCCGGGGCCCAACCCCGGGACUGCAUUUGAAACUGUCAGGCUGGAGUGCAGGAGAGGUAAGUGGAAUUCCUAGUGUAGCGGUGAAAUGCGUAGAUAUUAGGAGGAACACCAGUGGCGAAGGCGGCUUACUGGACUGUAACUGACGUUGAGGCUCGAAAGCGUGGGGAGCAAACAGGAUUAGAUACCCCAGUAGGA